rnacentral:rRNA from 2 species
AUCAAGUGAUUUAGAGGCGUAUGGUGGAUGCCUUGGCGCUUGGAGCCGAUGAAGGACGCAGCCGUGACGCGAUACGCUCCGGGGAGGUGCGGCAACCUUCGAUCCGGAGAUAUCCGAAUGGGGAAACCCGGCUGGCCGAUCAUCUGCCUGGCCUAAAAGCCAGGCGUACUAAAGCCGGUCAUCUCCGUCUGAAUAUAUAGGGCGGGGAAGGGAACUUAAGGGAACUGAACCAUCUCAGUACCUGGAGGAAGAGAAAGCCAAUAGCGAUUCCCCUAGUAGUGGCGAGCGAAAAGGGAACAGCCUAAACCCGGCGGAUGUAAAAGCCCGCAGGCGUUGUCCGUCCGGGGGUCGAGGGAGCCGCCUGAAAGACUCUGCGGAGCUUUCAGGAAGUUACAAAUCUCCCGCGUAGUUGAAGGAAGUGGAAACUUCCGCCAUAGAAGGUGAUAGCCCUGUAUGCGAAACGCGAGAGACUUCCGGCGGUUUCCCGAGUAACACGGGACAUGGACGACCUGUGUGAAUCUGGGAGGACCACCUUCCAAGGCUAAAUACUCCAGNNNNNNNNGCCUACAAGCAGUCAGAGCUAGUGAGAGAUUAGAAAUUAGAUUCAAUCUAAUUUCUACUAGGCGCGAUAGCGCCGGUCAACUUUCUAGUUUCUCACAUUGUAAUGGCGUGCUUAUUGUAUAAGAGCCGGCGAGUUACGGUGAGUGGCGAGGUUAAGCUUGUAACAAGCGGAGCCGCAGCGAAAGCGAGUCUGAAUAAGGCGCCAAUAAGUCGCUUGCUGUAGACCCGAAACCGAGCGAGCUAUCCAUGGACAGGAUGAAGUUCGGCCGUUUGCGCGGCUGAGUGGAGGUCUGAACCCGUUGACUGAGAGAGCCAUGGGAGGAUCUGUGGAUAGGAGAGAAAAUCUACGCGAGCUCGGAGAUAGCUGGUUCUCCCCGAAAUGCAUUUAGGUGCAGCCUCGAGAUAGACCAACGGGGGUAGAGCGCCGAUUUGGUACGACGGCCCCUUAACUUUGUGGGUCGGAGCCCAAGUCGAACUAACGAAUACCGUUGAUCGUUUCUCGGGAGUGAGGCCGCGGGCGUAAAGGUCCGCAGCCGAGAGGGAAACAACCCGGAUCACCAGCUAAGGUCCCUAAGUAUAGACUCAGUGUUCUUAAGGAAGUGGGAUUGCGAAGACGACCAGGGGGUUGGCUUAGGAGCAGCCAUCCCUUAAAGAGUGUCGUGCGUGUAAGCUCACUGGUGGAGCGAUCCUGCGCCGAAAAUGUCCGGGACUUAAGUCUAUCACCGAAGCUGUGAGUUCUAGGUAUAUAUAAGGUGUGUCAGGGUUUUAACCUUGGCCGUCUUACCUAGAUCGGUAGGGGAGCGUUCUGUGGGAGUUGAAGCCAUCCCGUGAGGGCUGGUGGAUUCCACAGAAGAGAGAAUGCCGGCAUGAGUAGCUAACUAAGAUGGGUGAGAAUCCCAUCCGCCGAAAGCCUCAGGUUUUCCCAGCUCUGUUCAUCAACUGGGAGUUAGCCGGACCUAAGGCGAGGCCGAAAGGCGUAGUCGAUGGAUAAGCCGGUUAAUAAUCCGGCGCCACCGAUCCGUAGUUGUUAACGCAAGCUGUUCUCCGGUGGUUUGUUCACCGGUAGACGGCAGCUAGCAACUAAAAAGCGGGCGACGCGGGUAAGCCGCGUCGGGGGACGAGUGGAAGCCCACCCGGCAAGGCCGAACCGCUUAAAAAAACCCGCAAUUUGGAUCGGUGUCCGUACUGCAGACCGACACAGGCAGGCUAAGGGAUAAACCCUUAAGGCGAGCGAGACAACCCUCGUUAAGGAACUCGGCAAACUGACCCCGUAACUUCGGGAUAAGGGGGUCUUUCCUCGGGGCAACCCGAAGAAAGGUUCAAUUAAAUUGGCUCGAGCGACUGUUUAUUAAAAACACAGGUCUCUGCUAACUCGUAAGAGGAUGUAUAGGGGCUGACGCCUUCCCAGUGCCGGACCCUAAGAAGAGGGGUCGUAGGGUAGGAUUGUUGGGGUGGAGAGCCCCAACGAUUUCAACUGAGGGCUCCGAAUCGAAACCCCGGUAAACGGAGGCCGUAAGGGAAUGACGGCCCAAAGGUAGCGGAAUUCCCGGCGGAUAAUUUCCGUCAUGUCGAAAGGCAUAACGACUCGAGCGCUGUCUCAACGAGGGACUCGGCGAAAUUGGCUAAAUCGGUGAAUAGACCGGUUUCUCGCGGCGGGAUGUAAACCCCCGGAAGCUUGACUGCAGCUUGAUCUUGGGUGAACGCCCUAACCUGCCACCGUGAAUCCGGUGGGGGGACAGGGUCAGGUGGACAGUUUGGCUGUUUCGGCCCCCUCCUAAAAAGUAACGGAGGGCUCCAAAGGUACCCUCAGCACGAUCGGAAAUCGUGCAGUGUGCAUAAGGGCGUAUGGGUGCCUGACUGCUUAGGCCGACAGGCCGCGCAGGGGCGAAAGCCGGGCCUAGUGACGCGGUGGUACCAAGUGGGUGGGCCACCGUUACAUGGGAUAAAAGUUCUCCGGGGAAAUAGGGCCAAUCACCCCCGAAAGAUCACAUCGACGGAGUGGCUUGGCACCUCGUAGUCGGCUCAUCGCAUCCUGGGGGUGUAGGAGCUCCCAAGGGUUGGACUUGCCGUCCAUUAAAGCGGUAUGUGAGCUGGAAUAAGACCAUUGUAAGAUAGGUCGGAUCAAUAUCUGCCGUGAGCGUUGGAAACUUGAGGGGAGCUGCCCUAAGUACGAAAGGAACAGGGUGGACGGGCCUCUGGUGUACCAGUUGCCCCGCCAGGGGCACCGCUGGGUAGCUAUCGUUCGGAAGGGAUAAGCGCUGAAAGCAUCUAAGUGCGAAGCCCACCCCAAGAUGAGGUUUCCCGUCGGUUUAAAAACCGACGAAGGUCCCAGGUAGACUACCUGGUUGAUAGGCCGCAGGUGUAAAACCCGCGAGGGUUGCAGCCGAGCGGUACUAAUGUGACCGAUAAGCUUGAUA